rnacentral:rRNA from 1 species
GCUACACAUGCAGUCGAGCGGAUGAGUGGAGCUUGCUCCAUGAUUCAGCGGCGGACGGGUGAGUAAUGCCUAGGAAUCUGCCCGAUAGUGGGGGAUAACGUUCCGAAAGGAACGCUAAUACCGCAUACGUCCUACGGGAGAAAGCAGGGGACCUUCGGGCCUUGCGCUAUCGGAUGAGCCUAGGUCGGAUUAGCUAGUUGGUGAGGUAAUGGCUCACCAAGGCGACGAUCCGUAACUGGUCUGAGAGGAUGAUCAGUCACACUGGAACUGAGACACGGUCCAGACUCCUACGGGAGGCAGCAGUGGGGAAUAUUGGACAAUGGGCGAAAGCCUGAUCCAGCCAUGCCGCGUGUGUGAAGAAGGUCUUCGGAUUGUAAAGCACUUUAAGUUGGGAGGAAGGGUUGUACGUUAAUACCGUGCAAUUUUGACGUUACCGACAGAAUAAGCACCGGCUAACUUCGUGCCAGCAGCCGCGGUAAUACGAAGGGUGCAAGCGUUAAUCGGAAUUACUGGGCGUAAAGCGCGCGUAGGUGGUUCGUUAAGUUGGAUGUGAAAGCCCCGGGCUCAACCUGGGAACUGCAUCCAAAACUGGCGAGCUAGAGUACGGUAGAGGGUGGUGGAAUUUCCUGUGUAGCGGUGAAAUGCGUAGAUAUAGGAAGGAACACCAGUGG